rnacentral:misc_RNA from 1 species
GCUGUUUUGGCUAGUGUCUGCCUUCCUUGCAAUUCAGCUUGGUUGGUGGUUACUAGUCGGGUGGUUUCAUAAAUGUCUACCGUAAAGGUGCAUUAGUGGUGUUUGGAUUGUUACGGGUGGUUGCUUCUUUGCUUGCGCAACAACUUCCACCUGGCAUUCCUCUUCAGUUUGCUUCAAUGCUUAGAUAGCAUUGACCGCAAGUUGGGUUUCCUGUGUUGCAUUCCUAAUUGAUGGUAUCGCGUUACAAACUGAUCAUCGUUUUCGUUUCUUGUCGCAAUUGCGAUGCGAGACGAACCUUAAAGCAACCUUUGUGAUCCACUCUUUUGACAUCAAUUGAGUGGCUCAUUAAGUUUUGCUUGGUCUCAUGGAUAUAGAACCUUGAGUGGGCAUAUGAUCUUUUAUUAGAUCAUUUUUUGUCCAAGCUAAGCUUUUCAAAUACGAUUUCCUAUCAUGWUCUAAUGUGGUAGGCAACAUCGAAUAUGAAUGCAACCUGG